GGGUAGCAAUACCGCUGACGACCGGCGCACGGGUGCGUAACACGUAUGCAAUCUACCUAUAACCGGGGAAUAACUCGCCGAAAGGCGAAUUAAUACCGCAUAACACUUCGAGGUGGCAUCACCAUGAAGUUAAACCUCCGGGGGUUAUAGAUGAGCAUGCGUCCGAUUAGAUAGUUGGCGGGGUAACGGCCCACCAAGUCUACGAUCGGUAGGGGUUCUGAGAGGAAGAUCCCCCACACUGGUACUGAGACACGGACCAGACUCCUACGGGAGGCAGCAGUAAGGAAUAUUGGACAAUGGGCGCAAGCCUGAUCCAGCCAUGCCGCGUGCAGGAUGAAGGAGCUCAGCU
rnacentral:rRNA from 1 species